AGAAUUCGAAAGGCAGACGAACCUCCUCCCUCGUCUCCUUCGAUAGGUGGCCGAGCGAACCUCCUCCCUCGCGACGCCACCACCCAGAGAAGCGCCCGUCGGACCUCCUCCCCCGACGGGCGUUUUUC
rnacentral:sRNA from 1 species